CGGGAGCCGCCUCCCGACACCCGAGCCCCGCCGGCGCCUCCCGCUCCCGGCUCCCGGCUCCUGGCUCCCUCCGCCUCCCCCGCCCCUCGCCCCGCCGCCGAAGAGGCCCCGCUCCCGGGUCGGACGCCUGGGUCUGCCGGGAAGAGCGAUGAGAGAGAUGCUGCCCCCACCCCCUUAGGCCCGAGGGAUCAGGAGCUAUGGGACCAGAGGCCCUGUCAUCUUUACUGCUGCUGCUCUUGGUGGCAAGUGGAGAUGCUGACAUGAAGGGACAUUUUGAUCCUGCCAAGUGCCGCUAUGCCCUGGGCAUGCAGGACCGGACCAUCCCAGACAGUGACAUCUCUGCUUCCAGCUCCUGGUCAGAUUCCACUGCCGCCCGCCACAGCAGGUUGGAGAGCAGUGACGGGGAUGGGGCCUGGUGCCCCGCAGGGUCGGUGUUUCCCAAGGAGGAGGAGUACUUGCAGGUGGAUCUACAACGACUGCACCUGGUGGCUCUGGUGGGCACCCAGGGACGGCAUGCCGGGGGCCUGGGCAAGGAGUUCUCCCGGAGCUACCGGCUGCGUUACUCCCGGGAUGGUCGCCGCUGGAUGGGCUGGAAGGACCGCUGGGGUCAGGAGGUGAUCUCAGGCAAUGAGGACCCUGAGGGAGUGGUGCUGAAGGACCUUGGGCCCCCCAUGGUUGCCCGACUGGUUCGCUUCUACCCCCGGGCUGACCGGGUCAUGAGCGUCUGUCUGCGGGUAGAGCUCUAUGGCUGCCUCUGGAGGGACUGCAGUAUGGGGGUCUGGGCCAGCUGGCAGAUGGUGUGGUGGGGCUGGAUGACUUUAGGAAGAGUCAGGAGCUGCGGGUCUGGCCAGGCUAUGACUAUGUGGGAUGGAGCAACCACAGCUUCUCCAGUGGCUAUGUGGAGAUGGAGUUUGAGUUUGACCGGCUGAGGGCCUUCCAGGCUAUGCAGGUCCACUGUAACAACAUGCACACGCUGGGAGCCCGUCUGCCUGGCGGGGUGGAAUGUCGCUUCCGGCGUGGCCCUGCCAUGGCCUGGGAGGGGGAGCCCAUGCGCCACAACCUAGGGGGCAACCUGGGGGACCCCAGAGCCCGGGCUGUCUCAGUGCCCCUUGGCGGCCGUGUGGCUCGCUUUCUGCAGUGCCGCUUCCUCUUUGCGGGGCCCUGGUUACUCUUCAGCGAAAUCUCCUUCAUCUCUGAUGUGGUGAACAAUUCCUCUCCGGCACUGGGAGGCACCUUCCCGCCAGCCCCCUGGUGGCCGCCUGGCCCACCUCCCACCAACUUCAGCAGCUUGGAGCUGGAGCCCAGAGGCCAGCAGCCCGUGGCCAAGGCCGAGGGGAGCCCGACCGCCAUCCUCAUCGGCUGCCUGGUGGCCAUCAUCCUGCUCCUGCUGCUCAUCAUUGCCCUCAUGCUCUGGCGGCUGCACUGGCGCAGGCUCCUCAGCAAGGCUGAACGGAGGGUGUUGGAAGAGGAGCUGACGGUUCACCUCUCUGUCCCUGGGGACACUAUCCUCAUCAACAACCGCCCAGGUCCUAGAGAGCCACCCCCGUACCAGGAGCCCCGGCCUCGUGGGAAUCCGCCCCACUCCGCUCCCUGUGUCCCCAAUGGCUCUGCCUACAGUGGGGACUAUAUGGAGCCUGAGAAGCCAGGCGCCCCGCUUCUGCCCCCACCUCCCCAGAACAGCGUCCCCCAUUAUGCCGAGGCUGACAUUGUUACCCUGCAGGGCGUCACCGGGGGCAACACCUAUGCUGUGCCUGCACUGCCCCCAGGGGCAGUCGGGGAUGGGCCCCCCAGAGUGGAUUUCCCUCGAUCUCGACUCCGCUUCAAGGAGAAGCUUGGCGAGGGCCAGUUUGGGGAGGUGCACCUGUGUGAGGUCGACAGCCCUCAAGAUCUGGUUAGUCUUGAUUUCCCCCUUAAUGUGCGUAAGGGACACCCUUUGCUGGUAGCUGUCAAGAUCUUACGGCCAGAUGCCACCAAGAAUGCCAGGAAUGAUUUCCUGAAAGAGGUGAAGAUCAUGUCGAGGCUCAAGGACCCAAACAUCAUUCGGCUGCUGGGCGUGUGUGUGCAGGACGACCCCCUCUGCAUGAUUACUGACUACAUGGAGAACGGCGACCUCAACCAGUUCCUCAGUGCCCACCAGCUGGAGGACAAGGCAGCCGAGGGGGCCCCUGGGGACGGGCAGGCUGCGCAGGGGCCCACCAUCAGCUACCCAAUGCUGCUGCAUGUGGCAGCCCAGAUCGCCUCCGGCAUGCGCUAUCUGGCCACACUCAACUUUGUACAUCGGGACCUGGCCACGCGGAACUGCCUAGUUGGGGAAAAUUUCACCAUCAAAAUCGCAGACUUUGGCAUGAGCCGGAACCUCUAUGCUGGGGACUAUUACCGUGUGCAGGGCCGGGCAGUGCUGCCCAUCCGCUGGAUGGCCUGGGAGUGCAUCCUCAUGGGGAAGUUCACGACUGCGAGUGACGUGUGGGCCUUUGGUGUGACCCUGUGGGAGGUGCUGAUGCUCUGUAGGGCCCAGCCCUUUGGGCAGCUCACCGACGAGCAGGUCAUCGAGAACGCGGGGGAGUUCUUCCGGGACCAGGGCCGGCAGGUGUACCUGUCCCGGCCGCCUGCCUGCCCGCAGGGCCUAUAUGAGCUGAUGCUUCGGUGCUGGAGCCGGGAGUCUGAGCAGCGACCACCCUUUUCCCAGCUGCAUCGGUUCCUGGCAGAGGAUGCACUCAACACGGUGUGAAUCACACAUCCAGCUGCCCCUCCCUCAGGGAGCGAUCCAGGGGAAGCCAGUGACACUAAAACAAGAGGACACAAUGGCACCUCUGCCCUUCCCCUCCCGACAGCCCAUCACCUCUAAUAGAGGCAGUGAGACUGCAGGUGGGCUGGGCCCACCCAGGGAGCUGAUGCCCCUUCUCCCCUUCCUGGACACACUCUCAUGUCCCCUUCCUGUUCUUCCUUCCUAGAAGCCCCUGUCGCCCACCCAGCUGGUCCUGUGGAUGGGAUCCUCUCCACCCUCCUCUAGCCAUCCCUUGGGGAAGGGUGGGGAGAAAUAUAGGAUAGACACUGGACAUGGCCCAUUGGAGCACCUGGGCCCCACUGGACAACACUGAUUCCUGGAGAGGUGGCUGCGCCCCCAGCUUCUCUCUCCCUGUCACACACUGGACCCCACUGGCUGAGAAUCUGGGGGUGAGGAGGACAAGAAGGAGAGGAAAAUGUUUCCUUGUGCCUGCUCCUGUACUUGUCCUCAGCUUGGGCUUCUUCCUCCUCCAUCACCUGAAACACUGGACCUGGGGGUAGCCCCGCCCCAGCCCUCAGUCACCCCCACUUCCCACUUGCAGUCUUGUAGCUAGAACUUCUCUAAGCCUAUACGUUUCUGUGGAGUAAAUAUUGGGAUUGGGGGGAAAGAGGGAGCAACGGCCCAUAGCCUUGGGGUUGGACAUCUCUAGUGUAGCUGCCACAUUGAUUUUUCUAUAAUCACUUGGGGUUUGUACAUUUUUGGGGGGAGAGACACAGAUUUUUACACUAAUAUAUGGACCUAGCUUGAGGCAAUUUUAAUCCCCUGCACUAGGCAGGUAAUAAUAAAGGUUGAGUUUUCCACAA
rnacentral:misc_RNA from 1 species